AUUGAACGCUGGCGGCAGGCCUAACACAUGCAAGUCGAACGGUAACAGGAAGCAGCUUGCUGCUUCGCUGACGAGUGGCGGACGGGUGAGUAAUGUCUGGGAAGCUGCCUGAUGGAGGGGGAUAACUACUGGAAACGGUAGCUAAUACCGCAUAAUGUCGCAAGACCAAAGAGGGGGACCUUCGGGCCUCUUGCCAUCGGAUGUGCCCAGAUGGGAUUAGCUUGUUGGUGGGGUAACGGCUCACCAAGGCGACGAUCCCUAGCUGGUCUGAGAGGAUGACCAGCCACACUGGGACUGAGACACGGUCCAGACUCCUACAGGAGGCAGCAGUGGGGAAUAUUGCACAAUGGGCGCAAGCCUGAUGCAGCCAUGCCGCGUGUAUGAAGAAGGCCUUCGGGUUGUAAAGUACUUUCAGCGGGGAGGAAGGGAGUAAAGUUAAUACCUUUGCUCAUUGACGUUACCCGCAGAAGAAGCACCGGCUAACUCCGUG
rnacentral:rRNA from 1 species